UACGUAGGGGGCAAGCGUUGUCCGGAAUCAUUGGGCGUAAAGCGCGUGUAGGCGGCUUGGUAAGUGGAUGGUGAAAUCCCUCGGCUUAACCGAGGAACUGCCGUCCAAACUGCUUCGCUUGAGACCGGGAGAGGUGAGUGGAAUUCCCAGUGUAGCGGUGAAAUGCGUAGAUAUUGGGAGGAACACCAGUGGCGAAGGCGGCUCACUGGACCGGUACUGACGCUGAGGCGCGAAAGCGUGGGGAGCAAACAGG
rnacentral:rRNA from 1 species